UGGGGAAUAUUGCACAAUGGGCGCAAGCCUGAUGCAGCAACGCCGCGUGAGCGAUGAAGGCCUUCGGGUCGUAAAGCUCUGUCCUAUGGGAAGAUAAUGACGGUACCAUAGGAGGAAGCCCCGGCUAACUACGUGCCAGCAGCCGCGGUAAUACGUAGGGGGCAAGCGUUAUCCGGAAUUACUGGGCGUAAAGGGUGCGUAGGCGGUUUAUCAAGUCAGGGGUGAAAGGCUACGGCUCAACCGUAGUAAGCCUUUGAAACUGAUGAACUUGAGUGUAGGAGAGGAAAGUGGAAUUCCCAGUGUAGCGGUGAAAUGCGUAGAUAUUGGGAGGAACACCAGUGGCGAAGGCGACUUUCUGGACUACAACUGACGCUGAGGCACGAAAGCGUGGGGAGCAAACAGG
rnacentral:rRNA from 2 species